CAAUAGCGUAUAUUAAAGCUGUUGCGGUUAAAAAGCUCGUAGUUGGAUUUCUGUCAAGGACAACUGGUCCGCCCCUCGGGUGAGCACAUAGUUUGGUCUUGGUAUCUUGUUGGAAACUGUUGCUGCACUUGGUUGUGUGGCGCAGUGUCCAGCACUUUCACUUUGAGGAAAUUGGAGUGUUUCAAGCAGGCACAUGCCUUUGGACACAGUAGCAUGGAAUAAUUAGAUUGGGCUUUUGCUCCAACUUGUCGGUUUCUGGAGCUGAGGUGAGAAUUAAUGGGGAUUGUUGGGGGCAUCCGAAUUUAGCCGUCAGAGGUGAAAUUCUUGGAUCUGCUAAAGACGGACAACUGCGAAAGCGUUUGCCCAGGAUGUUUUCAUUGA
rnacentral:rRNA from 1 species